rnacentral:rRNA from 1 species
UACGGAGGGUGCAAGCGUUGCUCGGAAUUAUUGGGCGUAAAGGGUAGGUAGGUGGUCUCGUUUGUCUGAGGUGAAAGCCUUGAGCUUAACUCAAGAAGUGCCUCAGAAACGGCGAGACUAGAGUCUUGGAGAGGGUCGUGGAAUUCCCGGUGUAGCGGUGAAAUGCGUAGAGAUCGGGAGGAACACCAGAGGCGAAGGCGGCGACCUGGACAAGCACUCGACA